UGUGCCUCUUUGAUUCUCAUGGAUGCUUUAGGGUGGUUUUGGCUGAGCUUCAUGAUCUUUAAAAAUGUUGAAUUACUUAGUAGUGACUCCUUUGACAGUCCCACAUGGAUAAGUUAUUAUCAAUGCAAUGAGUUGAUAAUUUUCUCAAAAAAGAAAAAAACUUAAAAGUUUCCCACCAUACUAAAACUAGUGACAUCUAAAUUAAGUUUAUGACGUAACGAAGGUGAUGAAAAGCCUAGAGCAGUGAUGACUCUGGGUCACGGAAAUUAAGCUAGCUUUUUCCAAAUGAGUGUAAAAUCCAAAACCCUCAUCCAUUCCAAUUCCACGGGGCCUAAACUAGGGGUGGGCUCGCGAAACCGAAAACCGAAAAAAAACCGCACCGAUACCCGAACCGCAGCCGAAAAAAACUGCACUGAAAAAAACCGCACCGAACUGGAAAAAAACCGCACCGCACCGAAUCUGGUCGGUUUGGUUUUCGGUUUCGGCCCUGCCAAAACCAAACCAAACCGCAAAACCGAAACACUAUUCAUUUACUACAAAACGACAUCGUUUUGGAUUUAACUUCAGAAACCUUAAUGACCGUCAUUAUAUUAUACAUAUAUAAAGCGUCGAUGCACUGUUACACUGUUCUAAGUACAGUAGAAUGCCGAUUUUGCCCUUGGAUUGUUCUCGCAAUUUCAGGCUGCCAUUGGUGUGUGGAUAAGCAUAACCAUGAGGUCUGGUCUGGAAGCCUCUGUUUACAGUCAGAGUGAGCCACCGACAUCAACAACGGAAAAAGCUUGGGAUCCCAGUUUCCAAUUAUCCAAAACCUUAACCCAAUCGAAUCAAAGUCCUUCUCUUUCCGACCCUCAUCUACUCUCCACCCAAUCGUAAAGGCUUUGCUAUUUUGAUUCGUACAACGAGAGAGGUGAAGAUGAGGAAGAGGAGGAGGACAAUGAAGAAGAGGGCGAUGUUGAUGUUAUUCCGAGCGAUGCAACUGAAGCAGAAUAAGAAGAAGAUGGCGAUGAAGUUAAAGUUGUGUUUUUUUUUUGUGGUCUGAGAAGUUAAAGUUGUUGUGAAGCUUAAAACUUGGCAAUUUUGGAGACUGGCUUCAGCUUUAAAAGUCGGUUGCCCCAAAACAAGUGUAAGUGUAAUUUCUCUAUAUUUAUUUGCGUUUUGUUGUAGCUGACAAGCUGUGGGAUUUCGUAUAGAAUUUGAUUUCUUUUGCACUAAAUGGAAAUUGAUAAAUCGAGUUGCUCAGUUUUCUGGAAUAUAUCUCAUUAUUGUGUACAUCAAGUUGAAAUCAAUCUUUCUGUUUCGAAAUUAGUUGCUUUGGUUUUUCGUCUCAUUGUGAGGAAGAGAAUAUAGGCUGAUCAAAUUAAGUUCUUGAUUCCUCUCAUCUACACAAUAAAAAUUGAAACCAAGUGCAAUUGAUAAAAAUUGAUGCGCAAAAGUUUGCAACUGGCUUAUAUGUAGAGAAAUUACCCCAACUAAAGGGAGGGCCUUCCAUUUACCUUUUUCGUGUCGGUUGAAUUUCUACCAAGUGCCCAUGAUGUUGCUGCGCAAAAGUUCCCAGAACAGUUGGAGGAUCUUACAGCCAAGUUGUUGCUCCGGGAAGUCUCUAUCUAACCCGACAUCAAGCUCCAUAGAAACUGGGUCGACUGUGGAAAAUCAAAUCAUCAAGGUAAUUUAGUAAGCAGAGAAAGCGGGUAACUCUUCAACACAGACAAGGAAAGAUGAGUAUUGUAGCUAAUGCAGAUACAAACAUGAUGAGUGGCAAAUACCUGAGUGGCAAAUGGUUAACAAAUACAUGAUCCUGUUUUUCAUUGAGGAAGUUCAUAAUAGGAAGUUGCAAUACACAGUAACCAUUUUUCCUUCUCCAACUGAAGCUUGCACCAGCAAUGGUUUGUGCCCCAAAAAUUUUUUUCACACUAAUGUUCUGCUUCUAUUUAGUGGUACAAGUCAAUGUUUAAGCACUGCCUUAUGAAACAGGCUAUGAUAAAUUGCAGAGAACGUUAAGCAAGGAAUUUAAGCAUAUACAGUCCAGACAAAGGCACAUCAAAACCACAUCAGUCCCAUGCCAACCAAGAUUAAAAAUAUAAGGACCAAGCAAGCCAUGAAGAUAUUUUUCUGCUUCCUACAUGACAAUCUCAUGUGCUGGAAUGAUUCCAGCCAUUUUUUGAUGAAACAAUGAUUUGUACACAUUUUAACAAUGUAAAUGGAAGUGCUAUGAAGCUAUAGAAUUUUUGUUUUUUUUCCUUACAUAGCAAUUAUAUCAACUAUUUUUUGAUGCGAUGAUGAUUUGUACACGAUGAUACAAUGUAAGCCGUUUUUUGAUCAACUUUAUUUCGCACACCUUAUUACUUUUAUCCCGCAGCAUUGCUAAGUACAGUGAACAGUCUAUUUUACCCUUGCAUUUAUGGAAAAAUACAAAGCUGCUAUUAAUCAUUGUUUAUUCAUGAAUAAAAAGACAAUUUUGCCCUCAUUUGAAUUUUUUUACGACUCUGCCACUGUCUUUUUUACCUCUAUUUUCCUCCAUCUGCCUCCCAGCAGAUCCACUGUUUAUCACUGUUCAUGUAACUAAAAUUACAAUGUCUUUUUUUGUUUUGUUUUUUUUUUUUUUCAAUUUUGCCAUAUCUUUUCAGUUUU